AACCCUGCUAGCUUUAAACUUUAAUCCUUCGAACCAUUUGCUCAACCCGUUUGAUUGUACAAAAAAAAAUGGAGGUGAUGAACAAAAUACUAUCCGAGAGCGAUGCAAAAAAUAAGCGACUUGAAUUUCCGGCUAGGAGUCUCUCGGCCUUCCCCAUGCCAGAUGGUCAGAACUCGGUCCAAUUUGUGGCAUUUGACAUGCAAGAACACCAAUGGAGACUUAAGGUCUCCAUCCGCAAUGAAGGUAGGUAUCCGAAACCUUGGCUAAAGGGCGAAUGGCAUGACUAUGUUCAUCAGAAAGGGCUCAAGAAAGGAGAUAAAGUUAUCUUGACUAUGGAUGAGGAAGAGAAUGGCGAAAGAAUUUAUCGUAUCAGAGCUGAAAAAAAGCAUUUUGGUUUCUGGUAUUCAAUUGAUGAUCAGCAGUAAUAGCUCUCCAUAAAUCGAAGCAUGAGGCUGGGCUCAUGUUUAGUGUGGCAGGCAAGCAGAAACUAUCUUUUGGAUCUGUCUGAAUUAAGUUCACUCUGGUUGUGUAAUGAGUUAGGUCAAAAUAGAAUAUGUGUCUGUCUUGUAGAAGGUAAGUCCUAGCUAGUCGUAAGAACAAUUGUCCCUAUGAAUUUGUUUCCUUCAAUACUCUGCCUUGGUGUUCUGUCAUUGUUGUAUUUUGUUUUGGGUAUUAUGCUUAUUUAUGUGAGAUGUGCUUUGUGUCUGUUGGAGUGGAUACAGUUCCAACAUCUUUGAUUAGGUUUGUUCUACUGUGCCUUUGUAGACAUCCCCAACAAGGAUGAUUCUUGUAUCUUCACUUCGAAUUUAUAUUAUAUAAAAGAAAUUCUUGUA